rnacentral:lncRNA from 1 species
CAUCAUUGUGGUUUGUGGCCUCUGUUGUUUUCCUUUUCCUUUACAGGUACACCAGGCAAGUUCUCCUAAUGCCUGGCCCUCAGGGAAGCUUAUAGAGUGAGGCAAUUUGGAAAACCCUGUUUUGGAACUGAGUUGCUCCUCAAUAGCUCCCCAUGGAAGAAGGAUUCCUAGUACUGUACAUCACUGGCACACAACUUGGUCUGGAGUGAGGACUGUGGCUUCCUUCUUGAGGCACUCUGACCCAGGAGAUUCACAGACUGGAGCACCAGGCUUAGGAGAAGACCGAUUUUGGUGGAAAGUGGGUCAGAAGAGCAUGUGCAACUCAAGGAUUGCUGAGGAUGAACAAGUGCAUAGGGUAAAGUUGCUUCAUCAUGAAAGGUUGUGUGGUACUUCCACUCUCCUUGAUUCCACCUUGGAAACACUGGCUACUACUUCAUAAAG